rnacentral:pre_miRNA from 1 species
GUUAUACUCCCUCCGUCCGAAAAUACUUGUCAUCAAAAUGAAUAAAAGAGGAUGUAUCUAGAUGUAUUUUAGUUUUAGAUACAUCCUUUUUUGUUCAUUUUGAUGACAAGUAUUUUCGGACGGAGGGAGUACAAA